rnacentral:rRNA from 1 species
GACGAACGCUGGCGGCGUGCUUAACACAUGCAAGUCGAACGGAAAGGCCCUGCUUUUGUGGGGUGCUCGAGUUGCGAACGGGUGAGUAACACGUGAGUAACCUGCCCUUCACUUUGGGAUAUCUUCAGGAAACUGGGGCUAAUACCGGAUAGGAGCUCCUGCUGCAUGGUGGGGGUGGGAAAGUUUCGGUGGUUGGGGAUGGACUCGCGGCCUAUCGGCUUGUUGGUGGGGUAGUGGCUUACCAAGGCUUGGACGGGUAGCAGGCCUGAGCGGGUGACCGGACACAUUGGGACUGAGAUGCGACACAGACUACUACGGGAGGCAGCGGAGGAGAAUAUUGCACUAGGGGCGGAAGCCUGAUGCAGCAACGCAGCGUGCGGGAUGACGGCCAUCGGGUUGUAAACCACUUUCGCCUGUGACGAGGCGUGAGUGACGGUAAUGGGUAAAGAAGCACCGGCUAACUACGUG